GAGUUUGUGAGGGAAGUGCAAGGUACUACAUCAACAAGAACAGAAUUGGAACAAUACUUAGAAGAGAAAAUCGUCACUAACAAAUCUUCUUUUAAUAUUCUAGAAGAAUGGAAAAAACUUUCUGAGAGGUACCCAAUCCUUAUUUUUUAUUCUAGUUUUAUACCUUUAUUUGAUACAUGACUAAUGACUAUUUAGAUCUUUCAAAUAUUGCGUUAUUAUAGAUAUCCAAUACUAGCGAAUAUGGCAUAUGAUAUCUUAUCAAUUCCAAUUACAACGAUUGCUUCGGAGUCGACCUUUAGCAUUGGAGCAAAAGUUCUCACAAAAUAUCGUAGUUCGCUUUUACCAGAUAAUGCACAAGCAUUAAUUUGUGGACGUAAUUGGAUUUGUGGAUAUGAAAUACAAGGUUUGUUCUAAUUGUAAAUAUUAUUACUUUAAUUGUAGCUUUUUAGUUUAAUUUUGGGUAUUGAACUAAUGAUAUUUUAAAUUGGCAUCUUUAAUGUAGAUGAUGGGCUAACGGACGACCAACUUUUGGUACCGCUAGUUGCAAAUCAAGAGUCAAAGGGUUCUAACAUGGGCGAAAUUACAAGGAGUGAUUAGACAUUACUCACUA
rnacentral:lncRNA from 1 species